GAUGGAAUUAUCUCCAACAGCCACACCAAGAGCACUGAAGCCCCUUUGUGACCUGUUGACAGACACCAUGUUUUGCAUAAUAUAUAUAUUUUCAUUUUCCCCUAGCUUUCUUAUUAUUUAUUCAAUAAAUCCUUAAAACAUGCACAAAUCUCAUAACUAGACUCCCGGGCAUGUGUUUUUGCUUACCGCCUAAUGUGGUUCUAAUAAUGCAAACAUUCCGGCUAAGUAAUGAUGACACAUCUACAGCUAUAGAUAUUAGA
rnacentral:lncRNA from 1 species